UGGGGUCCCUGAUGUCAACUUCGGGGCCCUUGAGGUCGCCUUCCACUUUGGGCAGAGAAAUGUCCAUGUCGCCCUUCACCUUUGGACCUUUCAGAUUCAGGUCAACUUCAGGCAUAGAGAUCUUCGGUGCCUUGAGGUGUAAGUCAGGCAUUUUAAAUUUGGGGCCCUUCAGUUUCCCUUCUGGACCAUGAAUAUCAAUAUCAGGAGUGUCAAUGUCCACUUUGGGUCCUGAGACAUCAAUGUCAGCCUUGGGCAGGUUCACAUCCACAUCUGGGCCCUCUCCUUUGAAGCCAGGCAUGCUGAACUUGGGCAUUUUCACCUUGGGCAUCUUCAGGUGCCAAUCUGGGCCAUGAACAUCCACAUCUGGAGCACUAAUGUCAACUUUGGGCCCUUUAAUGUCAACAUCUGGCACUUUCAUUUCACCUUCUA
rnacentral:lncRNA from 1 species